GCCUAGUUAGCUUAGUUGGUAAUGCGUCUGCCUUGUAAGCGCUAGGUCGCAGGUUCGAUUUCCGCCCGGGGCG
rnacentral:tRNA from 1 species